AGCGGUAAAGGUCUUGGGAUGCUGACGAGUGGCGAACGGGUGAGUAAUACAUCGGAACGUGCCCGAGAGUGGGGGAUAACGAAGCGAAAGCUUUGCUAAUACCGCAUACGAUCUCAGGAUGAAAGCAGGGGACCGCAAGGCCUUGCGCUCACGGAGCGGCCGAUGGCAGAUUAGGUAGUUGGUGGGAUAAAAGCUUACCAAGCCGACGAUCUGUAGCUGGUCUGAGAGGACGACCAGCCACACUGGGACUGAGACACGGCCCAGACUCCUACGGGAGGCAGCAGUGGGGAAUUUUGGACAAUGGGCGCAAGCCUGAUCCAGCCAUGCCGCGUGCAGGAUGAAGGCCUUCGGGUUGUAAACUGCUUUUGUACGGAACGAAAAGACUCUGGUUAAUC
rnacentral:rRNA from 1 species